rnacentral:rRNA from 1 species
GACGAACGCUGGCGGCGUGCUUAACACAUGCAAGUCGAACGGAAAGGCCCUGCUUUUGUGGGGUGCUCGAGUGGCGAACGGGUGAGUAACACGUGAGUAACCUGCCCUUGACUUUGGGAUAACUUCAGGAAACUGGGGCUAAUACCGGAUAGGAGCUCCCGCUGCAUGGUGGGGGUUGGAAAGUUUCGGCGGUUGGGGAUGGACUCGCGGCUUAUCAGCUUGUUGGUGGGGUAGUGGCUUACCAAGGCUUUGACGGGUAGCCGGCCUGAGAGGGUGACCGGCCACAUUAGGACUGAGAUACGGCCCGGCCUCCUACGGGAGGCAGCAGUGGGGAAUAUUGCACAAUGGGCGGAAGCCUGAUGCAGCAACGCCGCGUGCGGGAUGACGGCCUUCGGGUUGUAAACCGCUUUCGCCUGUGACGAAGCGUGAGUGACGGUAAUGGGUGAAGAAGCACCGGCUAACUACGUG